rnacentral:rRNA from 1 species
UGGGGAAUAUUGCACAAUGGACGGAAGUUUGAUGCAGCGACGCCGCGUGGAGGGUGUAGGCCUUCGGGUUGUGAACUCCUUUUUCUCGCGAAAAAGGCACAGUUUUGGCUGUGUUGAUGGUAGUGGGGGAAGAAGCGCCGGCUAACUACGUGCCAGCAGCCGCGGUAAUACGUAGGGCGCGAGCGUUGUCCGGAUUUAUUGGGCGUAAAGAGCUCGUAGGUGGUUCGUCGCGUCUGUCGUGAAAGCCAGCAGCUUAACUGUUGGUCUGCGGUGGGUACGGGCGGGCUUGAGUGCGGUAGGGGUGACUGGAAUUCCUGGUGUAGCGGUGGAAUGCGCAGAUAUCAGGAGGAACACCGAUGGCGAAAGCAGGUCACUGGGCCGUUACUGACACUGAGGAGCGAAAGCGUGGGGAGCGAACAGG